UAUCAGUGAGCUAAAAGGUUCUUCACCUAAACGUCAGAAAUAAGGUACAGCCUAUUUGAACGAGGAAACAACCUACAAUAUAGGGUAAUGCUCUUUAACAUGGCCAAGUAGGCYUAAAAGCAGCCACCUUCUAAAAAGCGUCCAAGCUUCCCCCCCCCCCAUUUUAUUUAUUCCUCUAUUAACCCACAACCCUCAACUUCUACUGAAUGACCCCAUACCUAUAUGGAAAACAUUAUGCUAGAACUAGUAAUAAGAAGACGAACUUCUCCAAAAUGCAAGCGUAAGCCAAAAUAAACCUCUUGCCGGCACUUACCGCCUAACCCAUAGUAUCUUUUUUCUAGAAAGCCCUACUAACUCAAGCGCUAGCCUUACACCAGAACAUUCCUGGAAAGAUUAAAAGAAGGGGAAGGAACUCGGCAAAUAUUAGCCCCGCCUGUUUACCAAAAACAUCGCCUUUUGACAAAUAUAAAAGGUCUAGCCUGCCCAGUGACUAUUAGUUAAACGGCCGCGGUAUCCUAACCGUGCAAAGGUAGCACAAUCACUUGUUCUUUAAAUAAGGACUAGUAUGAACGGCCUAACGAGGGCUACACUGUCUCCCCCCUCCAAUCAAUGAAACUGAUCCCCUCGUGAAGAAGCGAGGAUAUUAAUAUAAGACGAGAAGACCCCAUGGAACUUUAAACUAACAUCACCUCUCUAUAACGAGACCACAUGACUGCUAGUCUUUCGGCUGGGGCGACCACGGAGAAUAAUAAAACCCCCGAGAUGAAAGGAAACAUCCUUAUCCCAGAACUACUAUUCCAAGAAUCAACUAAUGACAUUAUUGACCCAAUAUUUGAUCAACGAACCAAGCUACCCUGGGGAUAACAGCGCAAUCCAUUUCAAGAGACCUCAUCGACAAAUGGGCUUACGACCUCGAUGUUGGAUCAGGGGAUCCUGGUGGUGCAGCCGCUACUAAAGGUUCGUUUGUUCAAC
rnacentral:rRNA from 1 species